rnacentral:rRNA from 1 species
AUUGAACGCGGGCGGCAUGCUUUACACAUGCAAGUCGGACGGCAGCACAGAGAAGCUUGCUUCUUGGGUGGCGAGUGGCGAACGGGUGAGUAACAUAUCGGAACGUACCGAGUAAUGGGGGAUAACUAAUCGAAAGAUUAGCUAAUACCGCAUAUUCUCUGAGGAGGAAAGCAGGGGACCUUUUGGCCUUGCGUUAUUCGAGCGGCCGAUAUCUGAUUAGCUAGUUGGUGGGGUAAAGGCCUACCAAGGCGACGAUCAGUAGCGGGUCUGAGAGGAUGAUCCGCCACACUGGGACUGAGACACGGCCCAGACUCCUACGGGAGGCAGCAGUGGGGAAUUUUGGACAAUGGGCGCAAGCCUGAUCCAGCCAUGCCGCGUGUCUGAAGAAGGCCUUCGGGUUGUAAAGGACUUUUGUCAGGGAAGAAAAGGCUGUUGCUAAUAUCGACAGCUGAUGACGGUACCUGAAGAAUAAGCACCGGCUAACUACGUGCCAGCAGCCGCGGUAAUACGUAGGGUGCGAGCGUUAAUCGGAAUUACUGGGCGUAAAGCGAGCGCAGACGGUUACUUAAGCAGGAUGUGAAAUCCCCGGGCUCAACCUGGGAACUGCGUUCUGAACUGGGUGACUAGAGUGUGUCAGAGGGAGGUAGAAUUCCACGUGUAGCAGUGAAAUGCGUAGAGAUGUGGAGGAAUACCGAUGGCGAAGGCAGCCUCCUGGGAUAACACUGACGUUCAUGCUCGAAAGCGUGGGUAGCAAACAGG